GGAGAUGAGUGGUUUUUACGACACGCUCUGAGACCAGCGGACGAUGAGCCACAACACGUCGGUACAACCGCACACGCGCGCAGACAACCACACGCGCCUUCCCAGAGGCAGACGGAGGGGAGGAGAAAUGUCUCUUCCAUUCGGGACAUAGAAGACGACUGCGGGUGAGGACGAAUCAAAGGCAAACAGGCAGAGGAGAAGAAGACUUUCUGUGGAUGUUGUUAGGGAUUUAAGCCAGAAGUGCACCCCUAGUCAGGAAAUUAUAGUACGUGUAAUAAUGUUUAGUGUUAGAAUUAUAGUUUG
ensembl:lncRNA